GUGGGAGUGCGCCUCCGGUUGUAAAUAACGACAUUGCUGUGUGUAGUCCUGGCGGCAUCAGUUUUUUUCUUGAAGUUCGGCUGAUGUCCGCCCUUUUU
rnacentral:sRNA from 1 species